GGCACCUCACGUCCUUCACUAUGACCAACUCACAACACGUCUCAGAUCCAACCUCCCGAACACGAGAUGCCUAAAAUCUGUGCUAACAUGAAAGACUUUUCAUGUAUUUUUUUUGUUUUUAUCUGAGAUUCAAACUCUUCUUCCUGUGUAAUAUGCAAAGUAUCUAAUAGGUAUUAUUAAUGUUUUCGGAGUCAUUGUGACUAAUAAACCAUUAGAAUUUUU
rnacentral:lncRNA from 1 species